GUGGAGGUACAGGCUCGGGGGUGGGACGCGGAGCUCCGCUUCGGGUGGCAGAGUCUGGGGAAGGGGCGGCAGGCGCCAUGUCCGGCCGCGAAGGUGGCAAGAAGAAGCCCCUGAAGCAGCCUAAGAAGCAGGCCAAGGAGAUGGACGAGGAGGAUAAGGCGUUCAAGCAGAAACAGAAGGAGGAGCAGAAGAAACUGGAGGAGCUAAAAGCGAAAGCGGCGGGAAAGGGCCCGCUGGCCACAGGUGGAAUUAAGAAAUCUGGGAAAAAGUAAGCUGUUCCUUGUGCCUGAGGCAAUGAUGAUCCUUAAUUCCAUUCCUAUUUAAACAUCUGGAUUCUCUUCCAUAACAUCUGUUGCCACCUAUAGUUAGAAUGAAGUGUUGUCUUAGAGCCUGUUGUACAUUUAAGAAUAAACUUUUGUAAAAAAAAUAAAAAUCAUAGUGACUCAUCUCUUUAGUUCUGCUCACUCAGCCAUUUCUGUGUUAUCUGUGAGGUCAGAGUAAACCAGCCCAGAAUCCUGCCAGUGUUCUUCAGUCUUUGUUCUAUCCCGAAUUCUGUACCACUUGGAAUUAAACCAGCUUGUUUAAAAUGGC